GAUGAACGCUAGCUACAGGCUUAACACAUGCAAGUCGAGGGGAAACGAUAUUGGAAGCUUGCUUCCGAUAGGCGUCGGCCGGCGCGCGGGUGAGUAACGCGUAUCCAACCUGCCCACCACUUGGGGAUAACCUUGCGAAAGUAAGGCUAAUACCCAAUGAUAUCUCAAGAAGACAUCUGAAAGGGAUUAAAGAUUUAUCGGUGAUGGAUGGGGAUGCGUCUGAUUAGCUUGUUGGCGGGGUAACGGCCCACCAAGGCGACGAUCAGUAGGGGUUCUGAGAGGAAGGUCCCCCACAUUGGAACUGAGACACGGUCCAAACUCCUACGGGAGGCAGCAGUGAGGAAUAUUGGUCAAUGGGCGAGAGCCUGAACCAGCCAAGUAGCGUGCAGGAUGACGGCCCUAUGGGUUGUAAACUGCUUUUAUAAGGGAAUAAAGUGAGCCUCGUGAGGCUUUUUGCAUGUACCUUAUGAAUAAGGACCGGCUAAUUCCGUGCCAGCCGCCGCGGUAA
rnacentral:rRNA from 1 species